rnacentral:lncRNA from 1 species
AGGCCUCCCGCCCAGAUGCCACCUGUGCCUCACCUGCCAAGUUCAAGGGCCAGCACAUCCGUGACACGGACGCCUUCCGCAGCUGCAAGUUCCCCACCAAGAGGUCCAAGAAAGCUGGCCGCCAUUAAACAGCCUCUGCUGAUGCACAGAGCUGCCUACACCUAGACACGUCCUGGCAGGGGGCCUCGGGCACUCCACUACCAACCCAGCUCCACCCAGCAGUGUCCUGGGGAGAAGGAAGGCUGAGCCUCUCCCCAGCCUUCAUGCCUUCCCCACCCUCCAGCUCCUCUUGGAGAAGCUGUUGCUGAGACCCCCCCCCCAAGUCAAUCAGAACCACAACAGGUUGGUCAUCAGGAUGGCCACCCUCCCAGGAUCAUCCUUCCUCUGUUCCUCUUUCCCUGCCACGUGGAAACAAUCAUCAGAUCCUUGCCCCACCCCUUGCUUCCAGAAAGGGUUUUAAAGCCCAUGCCCCAACUCUGCCAGCCCCCACCUGCCAGGACGUUCUAGCAGGACAUCGGUGCUUUGCUGUCCAUCUUCCCAUGCUGCAAUUUCUUCCUGAGAUUUCUAUAAAUAUAAAUGUAUGUAUGUAUUAUA